rnacentral:rRNA from 1 species
GCCCAGACUCCUACGGGAGGCAGCAGUGGGGAAUAUUGCACAAUGGGGGAAACCCUGAUGCAGCGACGCCGCGUGAGUGAAGAAGUAUUUCGGUAUGUAAAGCUCUAUCAGCAGGGAAGAAAAUGACGGUACCUGACUAAGAAGCCCCGGCUAACUACGUGCCAGCAGCCGCGGUAAUACGUAGGGGGCAAGCGUUAUCCGGAUUUACUGGGUGUAAAGGGAGCGUAGACGGUGAUGCAAGUCAGAAGUGAAAGCCCGGGGCUCAACUCCGGGACUGCUUUUGAAACUGUGUGACUGGGGUGCAGGAGAGGUAAGCGGAAUUCCUGGUGUAGCGGUGAAAUGCGUAGAUAUCAGGAGGAACACCAGUGGCGAAGGCGGCUUACUGGACUGUAACUGACGUUGAGGCUCGAAAGCGUGGGGAGCAAACAGGAUUAGAUACCCGAGUA